CCUAUUUAGCACAAUAUCCUUGAUAAGCUAUAAUUGUGUCAUGUUUUGUCUAAUCACUUCUCUCUAAUAUUUCUUUGAUCUCCCUCCCUCUCUUCUACAAUCAUCUAUACUAAUUUCUCAUACCUUCGUAUUGAGCAUCCGUGCAUUUCCUUAUGACAUGGCCAAACUAAAUCAACCUCGCUUCCGGCAUCUUGUUAUCCACCAAAGACACUACUACCUUGUCUUAAAUGUCCCCAUUUCUAGUCCUAUCUCUCUUGGUAAACACACACAACCCAUUACAACCUCAUUAUCCCCACCACCUUCAUCUUUUGGAUAUGAGAGUUCUUUACUUGUAUCACGACCGAAACCUCAUCGUGGGUGACACCCACAC
rnacentral:lncRNA from 1 species